CAAGGAGAGAAAGAAAGAAGAAGAAAGAGGAGGAGAGCAAGAGAGGAAGAAGAAAAGGGGAGUAAGGAGGGCACUUACCUAUUGAAGAUGUGGAUUCAGAGAACCAUACAUAGAUUGUGGCUGAGGAGCCGGCCCUCUACGGAGGUGACCUCUGGAACGAGGAGCUGGUCAUGCAUGAGGAUGGUUGUGUAUGCGAUGAUUGUGCUUUCGGAGCACACUGAGGAUGAGAGUAUCAUCUUCCCUUUUUAUUUUGUUUACAUAUCAUAUGUAGCCUUAGGUGCAUAACUGUAAUUAAUAUUCUGCUGCAAAAACAUUUUGGUAAAUAUGGUAAAUAUUAUUAGACUUCACCAGUUAUGUAUAUUUGACUAGUAUUAUUAUUAUCUUGUUGUCAUAGAAUCAUUUCAUAAUUUUAUGUAAUUAAAGUACUGCAUCGUAGAUCCUA